UACGAAGGGGGCUAGCGUUGUUCGGAAUUACUGGGCGUAAAGCGUGCGCAGGCGGCUGCUCAAGUCAGGGGUGAAAGCCCAGAGCUCAACUCUGGAAUUGCCUUUGAGACUGAGUGGCUUGAGUACGGGAGAGGUGAGUGGAAUUCCCAGUGUAGAGGUGAAAUUCGUAGAUAUUGGGAAGAACACCGGUGGCGAAGGCGGCUCACUGGCCCGUAACUGACGCUCAGGCACGACAGCGUGGGGAUCAACCAGU
rnacentral:rRNA from 1 species